CAGGUAGGACUACCCGCU
rnacentral:rRNA from 11 species